GACAGUGAACAAAAUCAUAAUGAAACAAAGUGCCUAAGUAACCCAAUUUUUAUUGAACCAUUGUCAGUUUAUUAUGAUAUUAACUAAAUGUGUCUUACACUCUGACUAUUGAUGUAAUAGAAUUCAAAUGAGGAUUGAGAGUGAAGUGUCCUGUCUGUUGUUGAUAGCUGACUGACUGGCUGACUGGUGUAUGUUGGUCGGUGUUACAGGUGGGAUCCAGCGGCGGCUAAGAGACAGAGACCUUCUCAAGAAAAGAAAGGCAGAGGCCGAGGAGAAGGCGAUUAACCAGGUAGAGAGCAGGAG